UACGUAGGGUGCAAGCGUUGUCCGGAAUUAUUGGGCGUAAAGAGCUUGUAGGCGGUCUGUCGCGUCGGAUGUGAAAACUCGGGGCUCAACCCCGAGCCUGCAUUCGAUACGGGCAGACUAGAGUUCGGUAGGGGAGACUGGAAUUCCUGGUGUAGCGGUGAAAUGCGCAGAUAUCAGGAGGAACACCGGUGGCGAAGGCGGGUCUCUGGGCCGAUACUGACGCUGAGGAGCGAAAGCGUGGGGAGCGAACAGG
rnacentral:rRNA from 1 species